GUACCUUUAGCUCAGUUGGUUAGAGCAGACGGCUCAUAACCGUCCGGUCGUAGGUUCGAGUCCUACAAGGUAUA
rnacentral:tRNA from 1 species